CACGAGCGCAACCCUCGCCUUUAGUUGCCAGCAUGUUGGGGUGGGCACUCUAAAGGAACUGCCGGUGACAAGCCGGAGGAAGGUGGGGAUGACGUCAAGUCCUCAUGGCCCUUAUGUCCUGGGCUACACACGUGCUACAAUGGCGGUGACAGUGGGAAGCCAGGCAGCGAUGCCGAGCUGAUCUCCAAAAGCCGUCUCAGUUCGGAUUGCACUCUGCAACUCGGGUGCAUGAAGGUGGAAUCGCUAGUAAUCGUGGAUCAGCAUGCCACGGUGAAUACGUUCCCGGGCCUUGUACACACCGCCCGU
rnacentral:rRNA from 1 species